rnacentral:misc_RNA from 1 species
AACGCACAUUGCGCCCGCCAGUAUUCUGGCGGGCAUGCCUGUUCGAGCGUCAUUUCAACCCUCAAGCCCAGCUUGGUGUUGGGGCAUUGCGGCCCGUCCGCAAGCCCUGAAAAUCAGUGGCGGGCUCGCCGUAACUCCGAGCGCAGUAGUUCAUUCUCGCUCUGGAAGCGUGGCGGGUGCCGGCCGUUAAACCCCCAAAAUUCUAAAGGUUGACCUCGGAUCAGGUAGGAAUACCCGCUGAACUUAA